rnacentral:rRNA from 1 species
CCUACGGGUGGCAGCAGUGGGGAAUAUUGCACAAUGGUGGAAACCCUGAUGCAGCGACGCCGCGUGAGCGAGGAAGUAUUUCGCUCUGUAAAGCUCUAUCAGCAGGGACGAAAAAAGACGGUACCUGACUAAGAAGCCCCGGCUAACUACGAGCCAGCAGCCGCGGUAAUACGUAGGGGGCAAGCGUUAUCCGGAUUUACUGGGGGUAAAGGGAGCGUAGACGGCAAGGAAAGCCAGAAGUGAAAGGGCAGGGCUAAACCCUGUACAUGCUUUUGGAAGUGUGGUGCUGGAGUGCAGGAGAGGUAAGUGGAAUUCCUAGUGUAGCGGUGAAAUGCGUAGAUAUUAGGAGGAACACCAGUGGCGAAGGCGGAUUAUUGGACUGUAACUGACGUUGAGGCUCGAAAGCGUGGGGAGCAAACAGGAUUAGAUACCCGAGUAGUC